rnacentral:rRNA from 1 species
UACGUAGGGGGCAAGCGUUGUCCGGAAUCAUUGGGCGUAAAGCGCGUGUAGGCGGUCCGGUAAGUCCGCUGUGAAAGCCAGGGGCUCAACCCUUGGAUGCCGGUGGAUACUGUCGGGCUUGAGUAUGGAAGAGGCGAGUGGAAUUCCUGGUGUAGCGGUGAAAUGCGCAGAUAUCAGGAGGAACACCAAUUGCGAAGGCAGCUCGCUGGGACGUUACUGACGCUGAGACGCGAAAGCGUGGGGAGCAAACAGG